AAAAUAGAGUGGCAUGGAGGUCUCCUUCCACACUUGAAACUCUUCUAAGUUGGGUAGGAGUUCAAUGAAAAUAGACCUAAUCCAAUUACGUCAAAGGCAACAGGUCCAGUUUAGCUCAAACACUUUGAACUUAAUCAGAAACUUGGGUUAACAUAAUGUGCUAGCAUAUGAAAAUAACCCCUACGAUUUAUAUUAAAUUCUAAUUAAACCAAACC
rnacentral:lncRNA from 1 species